CGGGACUAGGGUUUCUGCCGUGUAAUACCUCCUCGAGGCAGAAAAAUUCUACUUUCCAUCUGCUUGGCUGCGGAGGACCUUGGGGUGGGCUCAGCGUGGGGGCUGCAGGCAGAAAUGGGUCCAGAAGGCAAGGUCGAGUAGAGGCAGGGUUUUGCCAUGCUGGCCAGGCUGGUCUUGAACUACUUGUCAGGCCUCUGAGCCCAAGUUAAAUCAUCAUAAACCCUGUCACCUGCACGUAUACAUCCAGAUGGCCUGGAGCAACUGAAGAACCACAAAAGAAGUGAAACAGCCAGUUCCUGCCUUAACUGAUGACGUUCCACCAUUGUGAUUUGUUGCUGCCCCACCCCAACUGAUCUCUUGACCUUGUGACAUUCUUCUUCUGGACGAGUCUCAGGAGUUCCCCACCGAGCACCUUGUGACCCCCGGCCCUGCCAGCAAAAGAUAACCACCUUUAACUUUCCACUACCUACCCAAAUCCUAUAAAACUGCCCCACCCCUAUCUCCCUUUGCUGACCCCUUUCUCGGACUCAGCCCACUUGCACCCAAGUGAAUAAACAGCCUUGUUGCUAACACAAAGCCUAUUGGUGGUCUCUUCACAUGGAUGUGUGUAACAUUUGGUUCCGAAACCUGGGACAGGGGGACUCCCUUGGGAGACUGGCCCCGUCCUCACCCUCACUCCGUGAGGAGCUCCACCUACUACCUCGGGUCCUCAGACUAGCCCAA
rnacentral:lncRNA from 10 species